rnacentral:misc_RNA from 1 species
ACGGACGAGGGCGACUACCAGAUCAAGCUGCGCAAGAUGCGUGGGUUCCUCGAGGAUGGUGACAAGAUCAAGGUCAACAUCCGCUUCCGUGGCCGCGAAAUGAGCCACCAGGAACUGGGUCGUGAAAUGGCCAACCGGAUCGAGACCGAUCUGGGCGAGGACAUCGUCAUUGAAUCCCGUCCGCGCCUGGAAGGGCGUCAGAUGGUCAUGAUGAUCGCGCCGAAGAAGAAGACCUGAGGCCUGACGGGCCGCCUUCCGGGGCGCCUGGCUGAAUGGUUCAGGGUAAGGGGACGCCGCUGGCGUCCCU